rnacentral:rRNA from 1 species
CAAUAGCGUAUAUUUAAGUUGUUGCGGUUAAAAAGCUCGUAGUUGGAUUUCGGGCGUGGAGGUUCGGUCCGCCGUUUCGGUGUGCACUGUCUUUCUGCGUCUUUCUGUCGGGGACGCGCUUCUGGCCUUAAUUGGCUGGGACGUGGAUUCGACGAGGUUACUUUGAAAAAAUUAGAGUGUUCAAAGCAAGCUAAAGCUCUGAAUACAUUAGCAUGGAAUAACGCGAGAGGACUCGGUCCUUAUUUUGUUGGUCUUCAAGGAUGGAGUAAUGAUUAAGAGGGACAGUUGGGGGCAUUCGUAUUUCAUUGCUAGAGGUGAAAUUCUUGGAUUUAUGAAAGACGAACUUCUGCGAAAGCAUUUGCCAAGGAUGUUUUCAUUGA